rnacentral:rRNA from 1 species
CAGCAGUAGGGAUCUUCCGCAAUGGACGAAAGUCUGACGGAGCAACGCCGCGUGAGUGAUGAAGGUUUUCGGAUCGUAAAACUCUGUUAUUAGGGAAGAACAAAUGCGUAAGUAACUGUGCGCAUCUUGACGGUACCUAAUCAGAAAGCCACGGCUAACUACGUGCCAGCAGCCGCGGUAAUACGUAGGUGGCAAGCGUUAUCCGGAAUUAUUGGGCGUAAAGCGCGCGUAGGCGGUUUCUUAAGUCUGAUGUGAAAGCCCACGGCUCAACCGUGGAGGGUCAUUGGAAACUGGGAAACUUGAGUACAGAAGAGGAAAGUGGAAUUCCAUGUGUAGCGGUGAAAUGCGCAGAGAUAUGGAGGAACACCAGUGGCGAAGGCGACUUUCUGGUCUGUAACUGACGCUGAUGUGCGAAAGCGUGGGGAUCAAACAGGAUUAGAUACCCUGGUAGUCCACGCCGUAAACGAUGAGUGCUAAGUGUUAGGGGGUUUCCGCCCCUUAGUGCUGCAGCUAACGCAUUAAGCACUCCGCCUGGGGAGUACGACCGCAAGGUUGAAACUCAAAGGAAUUGACGGGGCCCG